rnacentral:rRNA from 1 species
CAAUAGCGUAUAUUAAAGCUGUUGCGGUUAAAAAGCUCGUAGUUGGAUUUCUGUCAAGGACAACUGGUCCGCCCUCCGGGUGAGCACAUAGUUUGGUCUUAGCAUCUUGCUGGAAACUGUUGCUGCGCUUGGUUGUGUGGUGCAGCUUUCAGCACUUUCACUUUGAGGAAAUUGGAGUGUUUCAAGCAGGCACAUGCCUUUGGACACAGUAGCAUGGAAUAAUUAGAUUGGGCUUUUGCUCCAACUUGUUGGUUCCUGGAGCUGAGGUGAGAAUCAAUGGGGAUUGUUGGGGGCAUCCGAAUUUAGCCGUCAGAGGUGAAAUUCUUGGAUCUGCUAAAGACGGACAACUGCGAAAGCGUUUGCCCAGGAUGUUUUCAUUGA